GAAAGUUCGACUCGCCCCAAAAUUAAUCCUCGAACUCGAUUUUGUUUUUACGAUUUUGGAAGAGAAAUAAUUGUGGGAAAGAUUAGCGCCAUUAGGAUAAUAAUUCUGUAGGAAAAAGAUAUUUCAAAUCACACAAAUCGCGUGGAAUUCGGACAUCUGCUCUGGGACAUCUGAAUAAUUUAUAGUAUGUAGUAUCAGAAGGUUGUGCAUCAUGGAACAACACAAUGCAGUGCAUACUCAAGACAAAAUUCAUGAAUGUGAUGUUUGUCAGAAGAGGUUUUCAAAACAAUGUAUUUUAGAAAUACAUAAGAGAACACAUGCUGGAAACUUGCGUUUUGAAUGUGAUAUUUGCAACAAAAGAUUUUCCAAAUCUGGUGGGCUUGAAAGGCAUAAAAAAUCACACACUGGCACUGAAGUCAAUAUUUUUAAUGAAUGUGAUGUUUGCCAGAAACGAUUUUCCAGAUUUAGGUAUUUGGAUGUGCAUAAAAGAACGCAUACCGGCGAAAAACCAUAUGAAUGUGAUGUUUGUCAGAAACGAUUUGCACAAUCAAGCACUUUGGCUACUCAUAAAAGAACACAUACUGAAGACAAACAUUUUGAAUGUGAUAUUUGCAACAAACGGUUCUCAAUAUCUGGCUACCUGGCAAAACAUAAAAGAACACACAGUGGUGACAAACCUUAUGAGUGUGAUGUUUGCCAAAAAAGAUUCCUCAGACCAGCCAAUUUAGCAGUACAUAAAAGAACACACACUGGAGACAAACCUUAUGAAUGUGAUCUUUGCAACAAAAGAUUUUCAACCUCUAGCAAUUUGGCAUAUCAUAAAAAAACACACACAGGAGUCAAACCUUACGAAUGUAACCUUUGCCAUAAACGAUUUUCACGAUCAAACUACUUGGCACAACAUGUACAAAUACAUAAUGGAGACAAACCUCAUGAAUGUGAUAUAUGUCAGUUGAGAUUUUCAAGAUCAUACCAUUUAGAAAGACAUAAAAUAACUCACACUGGAAAAAGAGAUUAUCAGCCUUCUAUACACAUAGACACAUUUUCAACAUCAAGUGACUGUACAAAAACAGACACUGCGGAAAAGCCAAAUAAUGAUGACCUCUCUGACUCAUUCCCUUUAGAAAGAUGUAAAAUAGGACAUACUGGUGAAAAAGAUGAUCAGUCUGAUGGGAGCAUGGAUGAGUUAAUUUCAACAUUAACUAACAAAGUCAGUCCUUCAAUGACAGAAGACAAACCAAAUAUUGAUAACCUGUCAUGGAACAAGACAGCACAACAUCAGCUUAAAAAAGAAAGUCCCAACAAACACCAAGUCCUAUGCAUAUCAUGUGGCAAAGAUGUUAUUGAAUCACAAGAUAUGCUCACAGAAGAUGGCAUUGAAAUAGAUCAUUCAUUUCAAUGUAAGUUUUGCCAAGAACCAGAAAGAAGAGAAACAGCUGAUAUUGGAUAUGUUUGCUCUCUUUGCAGUAUUUGCUUUGAUGCUGCCCAAGAACUUGAAAAUCAUUUAAGUACUCAUAUCAUCACUGACUAGACCAUUGUGAUUAUAUCAGAGCAUUGAAAUUUUGUUCAUAAAAAAAUGGUAUUUCGUUUUGUUAUGACAAUAUAUAUAGACACAGCCAUUCAAAAAGUGGAAAUUUUCAGAGAAACUAAUCUGCCCUAAAAUUGUAAGGUGGAAGUGAAAUGGUGUGCAGUGUAGUUUGCAGGCUAGUCAGACCAGACCCUAACCCUGCAGUGGCUUGAUCUAAUCCACCCCCGGGGGUUGGCCUGCAUGUCAGGCUACCCUGAAGUGGACUAGUGAUCUGGUGUGACUUUAUAUACCACCCUCAAGAUUAAUAGGGUUGGGGUCAGCAUUGGGUUGGGUCAAUCCAGUCUGACUUUUAUACCUGCCUCAUUACUGUUUACAACACAUGAUAGAGCAAUAAAGAACAUUUACAGAUGUCCAAAAUAUAUUUAAAAAGAGUUUUCACCAUAUGCUCCCUCAGAUCCUAAACAUGGAUCUUACUCACAUUGCUGUAAUUUAGGAGGAAUUUUUCCUUAAAUUUUUUCUUGAAACAUUAAAAGGUGGUGAGCCCCAUGAUUGGAACUUAUCACCAACGAUUAUUGUUGGGACAGGAUUAUUGUGCCGAGCGCACUCAGGUGACUGAGCGCUGUUUCAAAUCCUGUUUCAGACAAUAUGCUUCAAAGUUUUAUUUUGUUCAGGUUGAUGUAGGUGGAUUAGACAAAUUUUGG